rnacentral:rRNA from 1 species
GACGAACGCUGGCGGCGUGCUUAACACAUGCAAGUCGAACGGAAAGGCCCUGCUUUUGUGUGGUUCUCGAUUGGCGCACGGGUGUGUAAAACACGAGUAACCUGCCCCUUACUUUGUGAUAUCUCCAGGAAACUCCGGCUCAUACCGGAUAGGAGCUCCUGCUGCAUGGGGGUGAUUGGAAAAUUUCGGCGGUUGGUGAUAGACUCGCGGGUUAUCAGCUUGUUGGUGGGGUAGUUGCUUACCAGGGCUUUGACGGAUAGCCUGCAUGAGAGCGUUACCGGCCACAUUAAGACUGCGAGACGGCCCAGCCGGCUACGGGCUGCAGCAGUGGAGAGUAUUGCAGAAUAGGCGGGAGCCUGAUGCAGCAGCGCCGCGUGCGGAAUGACGGGCUUUGGGUUGUAAACAGCUGUGGCAGGUGCUGAGGAGAGAGUGACGGUAAUUAGUAAAGAAGCACCGGCUAACUACGUG